rnacentral:rRNA from 1 species
GAUGAACGCUAGCUACAGGCUUAACACAUGCAAGUCGAGGGGAAACGGCAUUAAGUGCUUGCACUUUUUGGACGUCGACCGGCGCACGGGUGAGUAACGCGUAUCCAACCUUCCCAUGACUAAGGGAUAACCUGCCGAAAGGCAGACUAAUACCUUAUGGUCUUCACUGACGGCAUCAGAUGUGAAGUAAAGAUUUAUCGGUUAUGGAUGGGGAUGCGUCUGAUUAGCUUGUUGGCGGGGUAACGGCCCACCAAGGCAACGAUCAGUAGGGGUUCUGAGAGGAAGGUCCCCCACAUUGGAACUGAGACACGGUCCAAACUCCUACGGGAGGCAGCAGUGAGGAAUAGUGGUAAAGGGGCGAGAGCCUGAACCAGCCAAGUAGCGUGCAGGAUGACGGCCCUAUGGGUUGUAAACUGCUUUUGUAUGGGGAUAAAGUCAAUCACGUGUGAUUGUUUGCAGGUACCAUACGAAUAAGGACCGGCUAAUUCCGUG